rnacentral:rRNA from 1 species
UACGUAGGGGGCUAGCGUUGUCCGGAAUCAUUGGGCGUAAAGAGCGUGUAGGCGGUCCGGUAAGUCCGCUGUGAAAGUCGGGGGCUCAACCCUCGAAUGCCGGUGGAUACUGUCGGGCUAGAGUCCGGAAGAGGCGAGUGGAAUUCCUGGUGUAGCGGUGAAAUGCGCAGAUAUCAGGAGGAACACCGGUGGCGAAGGCGGAUCUCUGGGCCAUUACUGACGCUGAGGAGCGAAAGCGUGGGGAGCGAACAGG